GGAUAGCUCAGUUGGUAGAGCAUGAAAUUCUUAAUCUCGGGGUUGUAGGUUUGAUCCCCACGUUGGGCA